GUCUUCCACUCCCUCCUGCCCGGUCUGGGGCAUAGCGCAGCCACUUUUGAACAGCCUGGGCAAAAGUGUAUUGGGUGACGGCGGCUGUCCCGAGCUGCUGUGUAAUAGCAUCUAAAACAGAGAAUACAAGCACAAUGCAAAAAAUUAGCCUUAAAGUUAAACAGAACUCCCACAUAUAUGCACACUUUGAAACAAAUUCGGCAGCCUAGGAGACAUUUUCUUAAAAUUAUAUACAUAUCCAGUGGGGGGCUUCCAUGGUGGCACGGGGGGCAACCCGCCCCCCCUGUAAUCUGAUUGGCCACCCUGUAUGCCCCCCCACCCCCACCCACUAAUGGUCAUUGAUUCGGGGUAAUGUCAAUCAUUGCGCUAAAGCUCUUUACCGACGCUGCACGUUAUUCUGCACGUUAACUCAUUCUGAGUUCAAUCUCUAGUCUAGAUGGUGUUCGAUUACUUUUGUUUUGCCUCGUGCAGCCUGUAGGGGAAUAGCGUGCUUGCCGUCUCCUCGGCCAUUUCAACUUUGGACUUCAACUCUCUAUACAGUGUCUCCUCUGCACGGUCCAGGGCCUCCAUGGUGUGGAGGGGCAGCUCCAAGGGCUCCAAGGAGGCCAGUCCCACAGACACAGUCUGUCCACACUUGCAGGAGUGGACGUAUUGCCUGAAUUCCUCCCGCAGGUCCUUCACCUCCUUGGACAACUCCGUCACCGCAGUCAGCAGUUUCUGCAUAGCCACAUCUAUUGACAAAGAAAAUAAUAACAUUUGAAUGUAAAAGCUGACGCCCUUUUACUUAAAAAUUUCAGAAAGUGUUGAACAACUUUUGAAGAGUUAUAUAUAUUUAAGCAAUGCCAUUGGUUUAAGCUAAUUGUUGAUAGAUGGUACAUCCUUCAAUGAUUCAAAGAAUUGAGGAAACAUUUACACAUGAAUGAAAGCCUAGAAAUAGCCUUAGAACAUAACAUUCCUGUACUUGCCUUUUAAUGCCAUUCUGGCAGUGCCUGGAGAAUCUGUAACAAGUAUGAAGAGAGAAAUUAAACCAUUUGACUGGAUAUACUGCAGUUGUUUUGGAUGUUUGAAUUGACAUGAAUUACUUCAAACAUACCUUCAGGAGAUGGCCUCUGGAAUUGAGGCAUUGGACCGGGUGGAGGGUAGGCCAAUUCAUCUCCUGGGAACGCUAUUGGGAUAGGGACAUUGGGGUUAGGGAAAUUGGGGCGUUGGAGGCUAUAAUGCAUCUUUGGAGGUGAUGGUUGGCUGUCCUGACUGGCUUGUUGGGUUGCUGGUUUGUCUAAAGAAAAAAAAAGAUGUGGGGGGCCGGGAAAGGUGGUUAGGGGCUGAUCUGUGCGUAAUAGACAGACAGAGAGACAGAGGCUAACUAUACCUGGAAAUAACACUUUGGGGGCUUGGGCGAAUCUGCAAGUUGUUAGUAGAAAUGAAAUAAAAAAUAUUGUUUUGCUUACUUUGUGUGCAAUAGUGAUCUGUAAGAGAACAGAAAAGACAAAAGUCAGUGUUAACAGCAAUUUAAAUACAGAUACAUUGUGAUUGUACUUUAUACAUAUGUACUCGGGUAACCAAAAGGUUUCCCCCAUAAUAUUCCCCCAAUAUUUGUAUCUGCUGUAUCUUGUAUACGGUGCGUUCACAACAAACGCGACGGGGCGACAAGAUCCUC
ensembl:lncRNA